AACGAACGCUGGCGGCAUGCCUAACAUAUGGAAGUCGAACGAGACCUUCGGGUCUAGUGGCGCACGGGUGCGUAACGCGUGGGAACCUGCCCUUAGGUUCGGAAUAACUCCCCGAAAGGGGUGCUAAUACCGGAUAAUGUCUUCGGACCAAAGAUUUAUCGCCUUUGGAUGGGCCCGCGUUGGAUUAGCUAGUUGGUAGGGUAAAAGCCUACCAAGGCGACGAUCCAUAGCUGGUCUGAGAGGAUGAUCAGCCACACUGGGACUGAGACACGGCCCAGACUCCUACGGGAGGCAGCAGUGGGGAAUAUUGGACAAUGGGCGAAAGCCUGAUCCAGCAAUGCCGCGUGAGUGAUGAAGGCCUUAGGGUUGUAAAGCUCUUUUACCCGGGAUGAUAAUGACAGUACCGGGAGAAUAAGCUCCGGCUAACUCCGUG
rnacentral:rRNA from 1 species